AUACAUAGGGGGCAAGCGUUAUCCGGAAUUAUUGGGCGUAAAGGGUGCGUAGGCGGUCUAUUAAGUCUGAGGUGUAAGUGCAGGGCUCAACCCUGUGAUGCUUUAGAAACUGGUAGACUUGAGUGAGAUAGAGGCAAGUGGAAUUCCAUGUGUAGCGGUAAAAUGCGUAAAUAUAUGGAGGAACACCAGUGGCGAAGGCGGCUUGCUGGGUCUAUACUGACGCUGAGGCACGAAAGCGUGGGGAGC
rnacentral:rRNA from 1 species